rnacentral:lncRNA from 1 species
AUGAGGUUGAUUUUUGACCAUUCAUUACACAUCCAUUCUCUUUUUUUUGUUGUCCUCAAAGAUUAAUAAUUUGUGGUGGGAAAUGAACGGGUGAAUGGGUUGGGUAACAGGUCAAAACGUGAACUUUUUGUUAGGGUGAGAGAUUUAGCAUCUUGGACUGUAAUCGAUUUUGGAACCGGCAAUGGCCUCCUUCAAGAGCUUGCUAAGCAGGGGUUGGUUUGUUGAAUGUGGAUUGAUACUACAACUCAUUACUGAUGUUCAUCGAUAAAGCAGUCAGUGGAAUAAACGUUCAUCAGUCUAAAUGCUCGCCACAUCAUCAUGUUGGCAUCAACUACCAAGGUUUCGGUUAGAAAAUCGGAGGAUUAUGUACCUUGCCAUGAAAGAUAGCUUCAGAGUUAGAGUUGAGAGUUGAGCUGGAAAUGAAGCAACAAGUUGGACGAAGGAAUUUGUGGAAGUGAAAAAGGUGCUAACUUUGAAAGGGGUCUUUGCUUAAUUAUGUGUAUGAUAUAUUGAGGAGAAAAAUAUCUAGCAUGGAGAAGGAUCUCCAAGAUUUGAAGUGCACUAUUGAUGUACUGCGACAAGCGAAUAAUCUUAUGCAAUCCAAGUUAUGGAAAGCUCCUGCAAUUGUUGGCAUUAAAAAAAGUCCAACCACUAAAAAGGAAGCAUCAACAUCUACAGCUAAUCUUGUGAAAAUACAAGAUGUAAUGGAAAUUAUCAAAAAGGAUAUCAUUUAUACUGUUUAAUGGCCAGCCAAAACAGUGAUAUAGAGACAAAGGCAUAGCUUUGUUGGGGUGCCCCGGCUCUCGCCGAUUUUUUUGCUCAUAGGCGUGCGUCUCGGUUGCUCUUUUUAAAGUGAGCCUUGUGCGCUUUUGACUACUAUGUAUCACAUAGUGAUUCUUUAUGGUAGUUAUGCUGAUGAUUAGACUUGUAGAUGAGAUGAAGUGCCUGAGGAAAAAAGUUGUCUUAAAUUGGAGAAUUGUGAAGAAAAAAUCAAUGUGGUUACACGAGCAUCAAAUGAGCUUAUUCUCUUCUAUGAUGAGGUUUGUUAUGCAUAUGGAUAUUGCACUUAUAUGAAAGAAAUGAAAUUGGUGGGUGGUGUUUUUAGUU